rnacentral:sRNA from 1 species
UACGGGCACUGCUCCAAGAGGCUCGAUCCUCUCAAGCCCCCAGCUCCCGGGUCUCCGCCACAAAGCCAUCUGUGAGGGCAGGUGGGAGCUUCAGGCCUGGGCCCUUUCCCUAGAUACCAGGUGGGCUAGCCCUGUCCCUAACAAGGAGCCAGGGUUGCCUUUUCUGUGGUUUCCAGAAAGGAGCCUCUCAGCUUCCUUCCUGUGCACCUUCUGCAGGGACCAGGCCCAAGCUUGGGUCCAGUAUAGCCCCAGGGUCCUGCACUUUGCCUUGGAGGAGCCCAGGUGUGAUUUGCCAGAACAGGAGAUAUUCCAGAUGAGAGGUGGUGGGCCCAGCGGUCACAGAGAUCUCAGCAUCAUCAAGGACCAACUGAACGUGUCCAACAUUGACCAGGUGGCCAGACACCUGAGGGGCCUUCUGGAGGAGGAGUGUCACACCUUGGAGAGGGAGAUCCUCAUCCUGCAGCGCUGCCUGGAAGAGGAGUAUAUGAGGCCUUGCCACCCCUCUGAGGCAGCCCUGGAGCCCACCCUGGCAGAGCUAAAGGAACAGAAGAAGGCCAUGGAGCAGGAGCUGCAGGCAUCUGUGGGGCCUUCUUGUGUCUCUCCCAACCACAGGCAGCGGCCCUUGGGGUCCUCCACACAGGGCCUCAGACCCCCGCGUCCCCUCUGCGGGGUUGCACCUCUCCAGUGCUGCCUGCCUGCACCUCCUCUGGAGCCCUACCUUCGACCUCGAGGCCAGUCAGCUACCCACCGCUGGGGAUGGCAGCUUCAGUGCAGCCCCAGGGAAGGGCC